AACCCGACUACACGAAGCUGGAAUCGCUAGUAAUCGCGAAUCAGAAUGUCGCGGUGAAUACGUUCCCGGGUCUUGUACACACCGCCCGUCACACCAUGGGAGUCGGGAAUGCCCGAAGUCAGUGACCCAACCUAUUGGAGGGAGCUGCCGAAGGCAGGUCUGAUAACUGGGGUGAAGUCGUAACAAGGUACC
rnacentral:rRNA from 1 species